GGCGAGUGAAGCGGGAAGAGCUCAAGCUUAAAAUCUCCGUGCAAGUUUUGUGCGGCGAAUUGUAGUCUAUAGAGGCGUGGUCAGCGUGGGCGCUUGGGGCAAGUUCCUUGGAAGAGGACAGCAUGGAGGGUGAUACUCCCGUUCAUCCCUGAGUGGCUCGUGCGUACGACCCGUUUUCUUUGAGUCGCGUUGUUUGGGAAUGCAGCGCAAAGUAGGUGGUAAAUUCCAUCUAAAGCUAAAUAUUGGUGCGAGACCGAUAGCGAACAAGUACCGUGAGGGAAAGAUGAAAAGAACUUUGAAAAGAGAGUUAAAGAGUACCUGAAACUGCUGAAAGGGAACCGAAUCGUUUCCAGUGUCUAUAAUCUGUGGCAUAUUUCAUUGGCGAGCGUUUGCGUGCGUGUGCUGUGGCAGUGGCUUUUUUGGCUGCGCCUGGUGUGUGUGGUGUGAGUGUUUGCUGGUGCCCUGUGCUGCGGUGGGACGUCAAGGUCAGUUCGUAUGCUGCGGGAAAUGGCUGCCGAGGAGGUAGGGCUUACGCUCCGCGUUUGUCUGUUAUAUCUUGGUGGACGAGUCGUCGCGGUUGGGACUGAGGUGCCUACAACGUGCUUUUGAGUGGGUUUGUGUCUCCGUGUGCGCCGUGUGCGGAUAGCUUGCUAUGCGUGUGUGGUUGUGUGUGGAUUGAUGCGGGCCUUAACUUGUCGCCGUUCGGGACGUUGACGAAAUGGAGCGAUCCGACCCGUCUUG
rnacentral:rRNA from 1 species